rnacentral:rRNA from 1 species
AGUGAACGCUGGCGGUAGGCCUAACACAUGCAAGUCGAACGGCAGCACAGUAAGAGCUUGCUCUUACGGGUGGCGAGUGGCGGACGGGUGAGGAAUACAUCGGAAUCUACUUUUUCGUGGGGGAUAACGUAGGGAAACUUACGCUAAUAUCGCAUACGACCUACGGGUGAAAGCAGGGGAUCUUCGGACCUUGCGCGAUUGAAUGAGCCGAUGUCGGAUUAGCUAGUUGGCGGGGUAAAGGCCCACCAAGGCGACGAUCCGUAGCUGGUCUGAGAGGAUGAUCAGCCACACUGGAACUGAGACACGGUCCAGACUCCUACGGGAGGCAGCAGUGGGGAAUAUUGGACAAUGGGCGCAAGCCUGAUCCAGCCAUACCGCGUGCGUGAAGAAGGCCUUCGGGUUGUAAAGCCCUUUUGUUGGGCAAGAAAAGCAGCAGGUUAAUACCCCGCUGUUCUGACGGUACCCAAAGAAUAAGCACCGGCUAACUUCGUG